AGUGGAAUUGUGGUGGCACAGCACGUUAGGAAAAGGUAGCCUCGCGCUCCUCACUCUGUCCUCCAUGUUAGCAGAUUUUCUACUACUAGAGGUCAGCUAGCGAGUCCUUUGUUUUUUGUUCUCUGCUCACUACCGUGUAAUGGCUGCCAGCUCGAGCUUCAGCUUUAAUAACAGCGGGGAAUAAGGUUCAAGGCCUCUUCAGAUAUUGCACCCCUUGGUAUGCGGAGUGAGGUAUGCACCUAGCAGUAUUUAUGUAUUUUGUAGAGUUGAGGUGUAUGUUUUUUGUUCUGUCUAACUUAUCGCAAUAGCGCUAAACCCACCUGCUUUAAGGCACGUAGCUUGUAUUGCUAGGUAAAAACUUUAAGCUUGUUAUAUAUGAACUUGUGGAAAUUAUAAGCAUGUAUUUUUUUGUAUUUUCUGUAUCUUAUUGUUUUCACGGUGCUCGUGAGAGUGUUCAGCAAGCUGAAUAAAAUAAAGCACCCGUUUAGAGACUCUCUGCGUUGCUUCUUGAAGCCAAGGGCUGCUACAUAUUUCAUGUUAAAACAAGAAAACAAGACAUGAAAGGUGGAUGUUGAACUGACUGAAGGUACCAAACAUCCAACACACACAACAAAGAUCAAAGACGAGGACCAGCACUAACUAAUUACCAAGAACACUAAACUCUCUGAAUCUGUAAAUUCUAAGCUCCAUAGAGAUCAAGGGGGAAAUGCUUGGUUCUUCAUUUCUAUAAUUAUUGAUAUUUAUUUUGUGUUAAAGUAGAAGAGGAGAUGUUUGAGGUGAUGGACACAGAUGACCAUCUGGAAUAUCUGGAAGAAGAAACGACAGAGGCAACACUCACGGAAGCUGAGGUCGAAGCUAUUAAAGAGCUAAUGCUCCUUUUCAUUGAGAAGAUCGAUGGCCGAAUCGCUGGAUGUGGAAAAGAAGUCUGAUAGCAAAGCAGUUUGGAACACCAUUAAAGGUCUGAUGGUAGAUCUGCUUUAUGAUGUCCAGAGAACAGUUGACCAGAGUCUCGGAAAUGAGUCGCACAAGGACGCUGACGUAGAAGUUGAGAAUGAUGACAUAAACAAACUGACGGACACUCAGCUGGACGACACAAAGACUACUUUCAAUCAAGCCCUUGGAAAAGACGGGAAUGACAGUUGAUCCUGUACCCAUUAAAAGUUGGGCUGAUAUGGUGGAUAAGACUGAAGGAAACAUCAACCAGACUGAUUUUUUUCUACCAGCUGAAAUUGAAGCAUUGAAGAAAGACGCAGAACUGAUGACUAUGGCUGGAGAUGAGCUGCCCAGUGCUGGCAGACAGAAUCCAGAUUCCAGAGGAGAGAUGAUCCACAAACUCCUUCAUGCAACGGAGGAUGUGUGAGCGAAAGAAGAAUGAGAGGAAAUACUGCUCAGUCUGCUCCUGCACACAUUGACAGAAAUGACUGGACACUGAAAACACCACACUGGUGGCAGCAUGAUGACCACUCUGCAUGAUGACCCUGAUGAAAUACAGACUGGAGAGAGACACCAGAAUAAGAAAUGGAGGAAUGGAAACAGGCAGUGGAAGAGUGGGAGAAGAACUGAUGCUUAAUACUCACCACUGAAGAAAACCUUUAGAGCAGCCUGAGAAUUAAGUCAGUGGAGACAUCAACAAGGAUUUGGAAAAAGAAGAACAGUCAGAGAACUCAGGAACCUGUGAAAGAGCACCUGAAACUGAUCCUCAUCAAUAGAGGAGGGCACAGAGAAAGGAGGAUAGGAGAUAAAUAUGUUAUUUGAAAGCAGGACAUCUGCAACCUCUCCUGAGGAAAAGAGUGCUCCACAAAACGACUGCAGAAAGAACAGAGAAGAACACAGCUAGAGAAGUCCAAAAUCUGUGAAAGAGCACCUGGAACUGUUCCUCAUCAGCAGAGAAGAACAUCCCUCCUGAGGAAAAGAGUGCUCCACAAAACGACUGCAGAAAGAACAGAGAAGAACACAGCUAGAGAACUCCCGAACCUGUGAAAGAGCACCUGAAACUGAUCCUCAUCAGCAGAGGAGAACAUCCCUCCUGAGUGCUCCAUCACUCCACAGAGCUGAAACAGACUUUUAACUCCACUUUUAUGCUACAGCCAAUCAAAUACAUCUCUUGAACAGCAGCCCCACUGGAGCGAAACAAGCAGUACAACACUUUUCAACCUCUAAAACCAAUAAAAGUCUUUCAGAAAAC